AAGAACCAGGAAAAGAAAUCUAGGUCGGGAGUAGUAAUUCGAAAUCAUGAAGCUGGAUGUGCAGGCUCGUGUAGCGGUUCAUGUAAUCCGUUUUGUGAUUGAUAUGCGUUUUAACUGAACAGAACUCGAAGGUGACUCACUGGUGGUUAUCCAGAAGCUGUCAAAUCGUACCCCUGAUAGAUCAAGCAUUCGGCCUAUUAUAACAGAUGGCAAAGAGCUAGCGGUUGGUUUUACUCAAUGCAUUUUCAGACAUGACAAAAGAGGUAACAAGGUUGCUCAUUUAAUUGCUAAAGAAGGAUUUCAUCUGUUAAACAACAUCUUUUGGGUAGAAGUACUUGCAGUGGCGCGUGAACAAGUGAGACUCGACCGAUGGUGGAUUGACCCACCCGACUGAAGAAGACUGCGGUGUUUCGGGAAUGGUGCAUGCAUGUGAGGAUUUUGGAAGCCCCCUUCUUUUGUUCAGUUAAUUUCUUCGUCAAGAUGAUAAAGUCUUUAUAAGUUUUCUAGGAAGCUGAAGAAGAGCGGUUUUGUGGGCUAUUCUGAUACUUUUUCUUCGGCAUUUUGAUUUCUCAUUUUCUGAGAAAUGUUUAUGCUCUUUAUUGUUUGCUGACCAUUUCUUAGAUUUAAAUGGCUAGCCUUUUCAGGUUUCUUUACACUGUGUUUGGUUCGCCGUAUUACCCAAUCCAUUACGCCCCGAUUACGUGCGUAUUACAUUACGCCCCUAUUCCGGCGUUUGGUUCGCUGUAAUAGGUAUUACGUGCGUAAUCGGUUACGCCCCUAAUCCCCAAAUUCCCGUGUUUUCCAAUCCCUUCCCUUUUCGCUGUAUUAGCUAUUACUUCCGGCCUCCCUCCCCAUCUCCCUGUUUUACCCUCCCUCCCUACCCGACCCUCUCCUCUUCCGUCCUAAUCAUUUUCUCCUCCCAUUUCCCACUUCUUCCGUUGAUUAUUCUGUCGUGAAAUUUUAGGCAAAAGGUCUUCCGUGCAUGAACCUCUUCCCUCACCGUUAAAUUCCUUUUAUAUUUUAGAGCCCCCCACAAAGUUAGGAAAUUAAUGGCUUAUAUCCAGUAUGGAAGACAUGCCCUUCGGUAAAUUAUCAAAGAAACGAAUGUCCAGCAAAGCCAUGAUCGUUUGAUGCAACCUCUGUUCUAUGCUUGUCAAGGAAUUAGAUACAGAAAGUUGGAUGUGAUUCUUACGACGGUGAGUCAUUUCGAUCCAAUAAUCUUUUUCUUUUCUCAAUUUUUUGUUGUUUCAGAUUGCAAAAUAUCAUUCACGUUUGCUUUUGCUUCCAUUUUUUAGAGCAUUGAGAAACUUGGCAAAGUUGGUGAGACUGUCAAAGUCGCUCCUGGUUAUUUUCGCAAUCAUCUGAUGCCGAAAUUGCUUACUGUUCCUAAUAUUGAUAAGUUCGCUUAUCUCAUUAAGGAGCAGCGUAAGGUCGCUUUCUUCUCUCUUUUAGUUUGUGUUUGAUGCUUGAAACAUGUGUUCUUGCAAUGCUGUUUGUUUAUAAAAAGAAGUUUUUCAGUUGAUAUUAAUCAUAAUCGUAUUGUUAAUUUACAAACAAAUAUGCAUCAAUUUGUUUUCCCUUAAACACACACAUCUGUAUGCAUUACCUAAGUCUCUCAUGAACCUUUUGUCAUGACACGUUCAAGGAAAAACAAGCUUGACAUAAAGGUAGAACGUUUUCAGUUUGUUGCUCGGAUUAUGGGGUAAGCUAUGUUGGCUGGACUUGGGAGUGGAUUUGGAUAUGUGAAUGUGACCGAUAUGAGUAUAUGUUGCUUUUAAGGUUUUUUUCUUGUAUUUGGAGGAGUAUAUCUCUAUACUAUGUCUGUAUAUGUAUCGGACAAAAAUAUAUUACAGAAAUGAAUAGUCCAUCUAACAUAGGGGGUGAGUGCUAGAUACAAUUAAGUGUUCGACACAAGUAUACUUGUUUUUUCUAAGUUUUUCUGUAUAUUUAGAAGAUCAUACACAUAUUUAUAUCCGAAUGUGUCUGACACAGGUUUUUUAGGAAAAUGAAGAGUCUGAGUAACAGUGUUUUCAUAUUGCUGUUGGUUUUUGGUUAGAUUUUGCUUGUUAUGAUAUAAGUAAUGCCUUUUCUUAGACAUGUAUUAUCUGCUAUUUCAGCCUUAAGGAGGAAACAUGUCUCCAACUGCAAGUAUAUUAAAUCUUGCGUUCUCUCUCACUCUCUCACUCUUAUUGAGGAUUCAUAUGUUGCGUAUGGAUAUUAGAUAUUGAUGAAGUAAAAAUCCAUUCCUUAUUUCAGAUGCACAUUCUGCUUAUGUAGUUUUGUCAAAUUAAGUUACUGUUUUGAAAGUCUUUAUUUGGUGGAGUCACUUCUGAUAUGUGGGAUAUUGUGCUUUUCAUUUUCAGUUAAAUGAUAACUUACCAGUGGUAUACUUCCUCAUCAGAUUUAUCAACCGAAGGAAGAAGAGGUUCAAGUAGUUACAAAGAAUAUGGAAGAUAAGAGCAAAGUAUAUGAAAAGGCUGCAUAUCGUCUACUUAAUGGCCGGCUGGUUAGUUCCCAUCUAUGAAGCCCUUAAUUUCGUAAAUGUUUUUUUCUGGUUUAAAUGUCUGAUACUUUAUCUGCCUUCCUCCCAACACAUGGAAAUACACAAAAAACAGCCUCUCAACAAUGUUUGUAUGUGUGUGUUUUUAAAGGGUUUGGGGAAACAAGGUCAAGGUGUGUGGGACUGAAACAUUGGACCUGCCUCUUCUAUGGUUAGGCUAACAAUAGUGGAACUAGGCAUAUGUGGGAUAACAAUGGUGUCAAAUUUUAAAUUAAGACUUGUUUAAAUUCUUUUUUGGUACAAGCAAAGCUUACAUUACAUUCUAAGUGGGAGGAGGAUGGGGUUUCACAAGGUUCAAACCCUAGAUAGCAUGCCAACACUUGAACCCACAUACAACAAGUUGCCACUAGACUAGUCAUAAUUGAUUCAACUUGUUAGUGGUGAAUCUUUUUCAAAAGUUUGUUGAAGCUUGAAAACAGUAAUUGUAUUUAUGUCAGGCUCUUUGUGGUACGAGUGUGUAACUUGUAUUGCAUUUUAUAGGUAUUGAGGAGAUCUAUCAAUGUUGAAAAGUUUCGUGCCCAAUCGACCAAAGAUGACCCAAUUGAAUUGCGCUCACCUGUGACAAAAGAUGAAAUUGUUGCUGAGGUAUGGCCAUGAUAUUUAUUGAUAGUAAUAGUUUCUCUCACGUCACUACAAUAGACAAUCUCCUUGUGUUAUAUGCUAUGUUAUUCGGACUCUUAUUUUUCUGAAGUAUUUAUGUUCGACGCGUAUUUAGAUAUGUACAUGGUUAUAUCCUCCAAAUAUGUGAGUAAACUUGGAGCAAAUUGAAUAAACCCAUGUCAAACACUCGCUUCAAGUCCAAGUGACAUAGCUUAAUCAUAAAACGUUUAAGAUGUGGACUUGAAAUGUUAUGAUUUUGUUAUUUCCAUUUACGCACUCGAUUAAUCUCCUCCUUUUAUUCCAUUUCAGGUUGGAAGGCAGCUUUGCGUUCAAAUUGAUCCUGAAAAUCUGCACCUUCCAACACCUUUGGAAACAUUUGGACUGUUUGAUGUGCAAUUGCGGAUGCCAAAAUCCAUACCGCUCCCAGAAGGAAGGUAUAAUUGGACGCUUAAAGUUAAAAUCCAAGGUAAAUAAACGGACAAGAGGAAAUAGGAGGUUGACUGAAAAGAGCUUUCAAGCUUGAGGAACCGUCUUCUUUUCGAAUUAGCUUGAGAAUGGAAUGAUAGGAAUCAAAUGUUGGAUGAUUAUUGACCUUUGUUGUCUGAUUAUGCUAUUUACCAUCUGUUCCAACUCUUUGUUUUACCAAAAAAGAGUAAUAAUUUCAAAUUUUUAACUAAAUCACAAUACCGAACUAAAAGUGCGCGCGAGACGAAUAUUUAACGUCUCCAAAUUCAUCAAAAUAACAACUUUUAUGUCUGCACUUUUUAAGUAGACAUCCUUAAAAAGAUUAAUUGUUAGAAUCAAUUUUUGGGUAAAAUCAUUUUGAAUUCAAGCUGAGUUUAUUUGAAUCACGGCUAUUGUUAUUGGGAUUUAUUCGAUUCAACAAAUUUACGCGUAUAAAACUUCUACGUUCACUCUGCACCACUUGCAUCUUAUUAUUAUUUAGUACACUUACAGUCCAAUUUCACAAACAAAGCUAUAUCGAUUUUUUUUUUAUUUAAAAAAAAACAUAUGAAUUAAGAAAACUUAAUGAUUUAUUAACCCCAAUAUGAAAUUAAAAAACUUCAUUAUUAACACACCAAAUAAAUAGUCAUGCAUAAAACUUUAUGUUACAUCUGUAUCUAAACUUGUAUAAUUAUAUAAUGUGAAAAUUUAUUAUAAAUUAUAAAUUAUAUAUUUUAAUUAAAAUAUAUUUAAUAAUAAUUAUGUUAAAAUAUGAUUAAAUUAUUUAUUACUGAUAAUAAUAAUCUUAUUAAAAUUUAAAUAACAAUAACAAUAAUCAUUUACCAAAAUAAUUUUAUGCUAAGGGUAUUCUAGUCAUUUUAGUUUUUUCCAUUAUGCUAUUACACCUCUAUUCCAUUCAACCAAACACAAGAUUACUAUUACGCCUCUAUUCCAUUACAUUCAACCAAACAGUGGAUUAGCUAUUACACCACUAAUCCAAUACACCUCUAAUCCCAAUACACCUCUAAUCCAAUACACCUCUAAUCCAAUACAGCGAACCAAACGCACCCUUAGUAUUAGCCAGUUGUGUGUCGUGGUCACUGUAUUCUCUCUUUCUUUAAUGAAUUGCCGGCGAAUAUUGAAUAUAUUCUUCAAC
rnacentral:lncRNA from 1 species